AGACGUCUACAUUAGAUACCCCUGUAGUCCUAGCCGUAAACGAUACUCGCUAGGUGUCGGCCACGGUGCGACCGUUGUCGGUGCCGUAGGGAAGCCGUGAAGCGAGCCACCUGGGAAGUACGGCCGCAAGGCUGAAACUUAAAGGAAUUGGCGGGGGAGCACAACAACGGGUGGAGCUUGCGGUUUAAUUGGAUUCAACGCCGGAAAUCUUACCGGGACCGACAGCAACAUGAAGGCCAAGCUGAAGACUUUGCCGGAUUAGCUG
rnacentral:rRNA from 1 species